UGGGGAAUUUUGGACAAUGGGCGAAAGCCUGAUCCAGCAAUGCCGCGUGUGUGAAGAAGGCCUUCGGGUUGUAAAGCACUUUUGUCCGGAAAGAAAUCCUUGGCUCUAAUACAGUCGGGGGAUGACGGUACCGGAAGAAUAAGCACCGGCUAACUACGUGCCAGCAGCCGCGGUAAUACGUAGGGUGCAAGCGUUAACCGGAAUUACUGGGCGUAAAGCGUGCGCAGGCGGUUUGCUAAGACCGAUGUGAAAUCCCCGGGCUCAACCUGGGAACUGCAUUGGUGACUGGCAGGCUAGAGUAUGGCAGAGGGGGGUAGAAUUCCACGUGUAGCAGUGAAAUGCGUAGAGAUGUGGAGGAAUACCGAUGGCGAAGGCAGCCCCCUGGGCCAAUACUGACGCUCAUGCACGAAAGCGUGGGGAGCAAACAGGAUUAGAUACCCUGGUAGUCCACGCCCUAAACGAUGUCAACUAGUUGUUGGGGACUUCAUUUUCCUUAGUAACGUAGCUAACGCGUGAAGUUGACCGCCUGGGGAGUACGGUCGCAAGAUUAAAACUUAAAUGAAUUGACGGGGUCAUAGCUG
rnacentral:rRNA from 1 species